AUGUUGCUUCUGUGGGACAACUUCAGGAAGGAGUACAAGGAGAAGCACCCCGACGUCAAGUGGGUCUCCGUGAUUGGCAAGGCCGAUGCAGGUGCUCUACUCUUGCACACGUCUGGCACCGUCUCCGGUGCGGUGGUGCUUCUUGAGGUGACUGGCAUGUUGGCGGCUUUGUACGGCGGCGACCACAAGCCCUUCGUUAAUAGUAUUUGGCUUCUACUUGAUGGUCUGGUACUAAUUUAUGGUGAUGUGGAUAUACUUUGUGAUUUAAAGUUACUAAUCUGUGGUUUGGUGUCAUAUUAUGGUCUAAUAUUUUUUGUUUUGACUCUUUCUCUGGUGCAAGGAAAGCUGUGA
rnacentral:rRNA from 1 species